AUGACUUGCAUCUCCUGCUGCCAGCGGGAGGGUGGGGAGCGAGGCCGGGGCGGCUCGGAAAGUGAAGCCUCGGCGGCGGCGCUGCUUCGGCUCUGCUCGUGGGGGACGAUUUCCGAGAGGCGCUGGGUGCUGCCGUCCCCUCCCAGCGCUUGGCCACACGGUGUUUCCACCGUCCCACCCGGAUCCCAAAAUGCAGGGGAAAGGUUUGAGCUCUCCGCAGGAAAAACAACAGAAAAAAAAAACCACCAACCCAAAGCCCGCCGCAGCCCCAGGAUUCCCCUGGCUCCCGGCGGCACUGACUCAUCUGGCAGAGCCGCCCCUUUCCCUGCCCGAACCCGCGGUGCUUCGCGUCCUGCCUGGCCUCUCGCAGCCUCGUGCCCCGCGUUGCAACAUCGGGGUGCGGGGGCUGCCCGGCGCCCCUGCUCCUGCUGGGAUAAACGGGUGCUGAGCACGGAGCUGGGCCCCCCCCCGGGGGCCGGCAGCACCCCCAUGCCCCUGCCGGGGCUUUGUGGCCCCCCCAAGGCCGUGGCCGUGGGCACCCCGGCGUGGGAAGGUCAGCAGAGGCUCUGCCAGCACGAGCCUGGCUGCGUCCUUGGGCCACGUCGCCCUUGGGUGGCUCGAAGGCCGUAUCCUCGCACUUCCUUCUCCGGGGGGAGCGCUGCUGUAAUGAUUAACCCGCGCUGCCGCAGCCAUUCCAUCCUGCAGCCUUUUUCCUUUGGGUUUCCAGCUCUGGAAAAUGCUCCUCUUCCGCACGCCUCCCACGCGCGCUGCCCUGUCCAAGCGGUGGGAGCACGGGGGGGGAAAAAUCCCUGCUGCAAGGGGCCGGCGGCAGCCCCCCAGCCCCAUCCCGGGGCGCCGUGCUGGCAGAUGGCAGUGGGGUGCCCUCGCCCAUCUCCCCGCCGGCUUCACCCCGAAAUGUGGGCGCGGGUGCAAGCGCCGGCGGGCGCUGCAGCCGGCAGGACGCUGCUUGUCCCGGUGCAGCUCGCGGGCCAGCAGCCUCCCAGCGCCGUGCUGCCGAGCGCAGCAAACCCUUGGCCUGGGGCGGGUGCUCCCUGGGGGAAACUGAGGCACCGGUGGGGAAAGCCGGGAUGGGAGCGGGCGUCUUGCUCUUCCUGA
rnacentral:lncRNA from 1 species